GGGCGCAUGGUUUAGUGGUAUAAUUCCUCUUUAGCAUCUUAAGGUCCCCAAGACCUGAGAAUAGAUAGCGAUAUCUAAAGUUAGAGGCGGUCCCUGGUUCGAUUCCUGGUGUGUCCA